GGCUGUACUUCGUUCAGAUUGCGUAUAAUACCAGGGCAUCGGAAGAAGUAACAGAGAGUUUGAUUCUGGCUCCAGAUUGAACGCUGGCGGGAUGCUUUACACAUACAGUCAGGAGCGGCAGCACGGACUUCAGUCUGGUGGCGAGUGGCGAACGGGUGAGUAAUGUAUCGGAACGUGCCUAUGGUAGCCAGGGAUAACUACGCGAAAGCGUAGCCAAUGCCACAUACGCCCUUCGGGGGGAAAGCGGGGGGACCUUCGGGCCUCGCUGGCCGAACAGCCGAUAUCGGAUUAGCUAGUUGGUGAGGUAACGGCUCACCAAAACUGACAGUCCGUAACUGGGUUUAGAGGACGACCAGCCACACUAGGACUGAAGACACGGCCCAGACUCCUACAGGAGGCAACAGUGGGAGAAUUUUGGACAAUGGAAACCACGAUCCAGCCAUCCCGCGUGUGCGAUGAAGGGGCCUUCGAACGUAAAGCACUUUUGGCAGGAAAGAAACGGCGGGAUAAUACACCCAUUGCGCGAGCCGGUGAUGCCUGGAGCGUAAGCGCAAACGCAACUUGCGUACUACGCGGCCGCGGUAAUACGUAGGGUGCAAGCGUUAAUCGGAGUACUGGGCGUAAAGCGUGCGCGAGCGGUUCGGAAAGAAGAUGUGAAAUCUGGAAACUUAACUUUGGAGCUGCAUUUUUAACUACCGAGCUGGUAAUGUCGGGAAUUGGAUUCGCGUGUAGCAGUGAAAUGUGCGUGAAUGUACCGGAGGAACACCGAUGGCGAAAGGCGAGCGCUAUGUCUGGAAUAACACUGACGCAAAAUAAAGCUAACGCAGCGAUAUGGGGAGCAAACAGGAUUAGGCUACCACGGUAGUCGCGCCCUAAACGAUGUCAGCAUAAUGUUGGGCCUUCAAGGCCUUGGUAGCGCAACUAACGCGUGAAGUUGACCACCACCAGGAAGUACGGUCGCAAGAUUGUAAAACUCAAAGGAAUUGACGGGUUAUACAGCGAUGGAUAAUGGGUCCUGAAUUCGAUGCAACGCGAAAAACCUUCUUUCUACCCUUGACAUGUCUGGAAUCCCGAAGAGAUUUGGGAGUGCUCGCAAGAGAACCGGAACACAGGUGCUGCAUGGCUGUCGUCAGCUCGUGUCGUGAGAUGUUGGGUUUAAGUCCGCAACAGCGCGACCUUGUCUGAUAUGGUGCUACGAAAGGGCCUCCUAAUGAGACUGCGGUGAUGAACCGGAGGAAGGUGGGGAUGACGUCAAGUCCUCAUGGCCCUUAUGGUAGGGCUUCACCUUGAAAUAUUACGAUGGUCGGGACAGAGGGUCGCCAACCCGCGAGGGAGCCAAUCCCAGAAACCCGAUCUACGUAGUCGGAUCACCAGUCUGCAACUCGACUGCGUGAAGUCGAAUCGCUAGUAAUCGCGGAUCCGUAUGUCGCGGUGAAUAUGGGUCUGCAACACCUUUACUUCCAUCACACCGGCAGGAUGCAGGUUUACGCCAAAUGAUUAGCUAACCGUAAGGAGGGCGAUUACCACAAUGGAUUUCAUGACUGGGGUGAAGUCGUAACAAGGUAG
rnacentral:rRNA from 1 species